rnacentral:rRNA from 1 species
GACGAACGCUGGCGGCGUGCUUAACACAUGCAAGUCGAACGAUGAAGAAGAGAAACGCGAACUUCGGUUCAAAUUUCACUUCGGAUUAGUGGCAGACGGGUGAGUAACGCGUGAGCAACCUACCUCUUACAAAGGGAUAGCCUCGGGAAACCGUGAUUAAUACCAUAUGACACAUUCAUAAGGCAUCUUAAGAAUGUUAAAGCUACGGCGGUAAGAGAUGGGCUCGCGUCCCAUUAGCUAGUUGGUGAGGUAACGGCCCACCAAGGCGACGAUGGGUAACCGGCCUGAGAGGGUGAACGGUCACAUUGGAACUGAGACACGGUCCAAACUCCUACGGGAGGCAGCAGUGGGGAAUAUUGCGCAAUGGAGGGAACUCUGAUGCAGCGACGCCGCGUGAGCGAUGAAGGAAUUCGUUUCGUAAAGCUCUGUUCUAUGGGAAGAAAAGGACUGUACCAUAGGAGAAAGCCCCGGCUAAAUACGUG